rnacentral:rRNA from 1 species
AUACGGAGGGUGCAAGCGUUAUUCGGAAUCACUGGGCGUAAGGGACGCGUAGGCGGGUUGGCAAGUCAGAUGUGAAAUCCUACAGCUUAACUGUAGAACUGCAUUUGAAACUGCUAACCUAGAGUAUGGGAGGGGGAGAUGGAAUUAGUGGUGUAGGGGUAAAAUCCGUAGAUAUCACUAGGAAUACCGAAAGCGAAGGCGAUCUCCUGGAACAUAACUGACGCUAAGGCGUGAAAGCGUGGGGAGCAAACAGGAUUAGAUACCCGAGUAGUCC